rnacentral:rRNA from 1 species
CCUACGGGUGGCAGCAGUGGGGAACAUUGCGCAAUGGGCGAAAGCCUGACGCAGCGACGCCGCGUGAGGGAUGAAGGUCUUCGGAGCGUAAACCUCUGUCAGCAGGGAAGAACGGUCACUGUGCUAAUCAGCAGUGAAUUGACGGUACCGGCAAAGGAAGCACCGGCUAACUCCGUGCCAGCAGCCGCGGUAAUACGGAGGGUGCGAGCGUUAAUCGGAAUUACUGGGCGUAAAGCGCUCGUAGGCGGUAUGUCAAGUCAAGGGUGAAAUGCCCGGGCUCAACGUGGGAACUGCCUUUGAAACUGGCAAACUGGAGUGUGUGAGAGGAUAGUGGAAUUCCAGGUGUAGGAGUGAAAUCCGUAGAUAUCUGGAGGAACACCAGUGGCGAAGGCGACUAUCUGGCACAUAACUGACGCUGAGGAGCGAAAGCGUGGGUAGCAAACAGGAUUAGAUACCCUUGUAGUC